AUAUAUAUAUAUAUAUUAUAAUAAAUAUAAACAUAAAUAUAAACAACUCUGAAACAGUCUCGUACGGCCGCGGCGCAGCAUAAUGUUGAGUAAUUAAAUAUGGUGGUAUAUUACAAAUUAAUACCUCGGUACCAACAGUAAACAAGUUUCACCCAAAUUUAAUUUGUCUUUUAAUUUAUGAAAUUUAAACACAUUUUAUUUUUGGUAAAUAAAUGGGAUUUGCUAUUAAAAUUAAAACAUGGAAGAAAUAUUGUGAUUUAUUUCUUUAAAAAAUGAAGUUUUAAAUUUUUUUUUCAACAGUUGUAGCAGUAUCACAUACAUUUUACUAAAUAAUAGUAAUAUUUCUAGCACAAAUGCCUUUAUGUAAAAAUUAACUUUUAGGCCUAAUGAAUGCAUAUUUGUCAUUUUAACUGAACUGAAGAUUGGUGGUUAUGCUUAAGAUAUUUUUGGUCAUUGAGGGUUUCUGUAAAAAAAAUAGUAAUAGAUCAUAUUCAUUAUUAUUAAAAGAUAAAACUACUACUAAUUCUACUAUCAUACUAAUGUAUAUACAAUGCACUAUGAAUUGAUGAGCUGCUGGGUUCAUGAAUAUUAAUCACGUUGUCUGCGUUCGAUCAAACUGAUUUGCUGAAAUCAAAACAGGGACGGUAAUAUUCAGCACCAGCCAAUGAAAUUGCCAUUUGCGCAUUAGCUCCGCCCACUACUGUAGAAACCGGUAUGUCUUCUGCUUGCUCGAAAAUGAAUAUGAAUAAUUCUAAAUGAAUUCCAUUAUUUUGACAGGAGAAAACAACAAAGAAUAGUUUACAUCUAGCGUGUCGAUUCAGCGUGGUAAGACUCUCGCUCUCUCUCUCUUUGCAUGUGUGAGAAACUGCGCUAUCAGUAAAGCGGCAGUGAAUCGUGCGGUGAGAGCAUCAAAUACAAGUGCGCUGUGCGUCCAUUGAGAUGAACUGAAAAGCAGUGUUAAUUUUGACACGAAAUUUUAAUUUAGUUUUAGUCUUAGUCUUUUGACUAUAAUUCUUUUUAGUUUUAGUCAAGUUUUAGUCAUCUGAUUUGUUUUAAUUUUAGUCUUAUUUUAGUCGACUAAAAUUGCUUGGUAUUUUAGUCGACUAAAAUAAGACUAAAAUCAAUAACAGAUUUACUAGACAAUUUUUUACAGCUGGUAUAGGAAACAAACUUAACCAAAAUAUAUAAAACACAACUUUACUUCAACUUUAUUUCAACACAACUGUGUCUUUAUUUCGAUUCAAAAGCUUUUAUGCAGCAACAAACACUGUCAUGAUAAUGUAAACAAUAACUAGCUGCCAAUUGACCAUAAAUAAAAGAAAAAUAACGUUAGGUCCAGGACCUUAAAGCUUACAGCUGAGCUGAACAAUAAGUGCAUACAUUUAAAGUAAAUAUUCAAUAAGUUGGCAGCUAGGUGGAUAAAAAAAAGUAACAAGAUUUCAUAAGGUAUUCAUUUGUCUAGCAAUAUUGUAUGUUUUAAAUACUACAAUAUUGCUAGAUUUGUAUGUAUAAUGAUAGGAUGUGAACAUUCAUGUUUCUCAUGACUAAUAUAGAAAUAUUUGUGAUAUUGUCAACAAGUAGAACAUUAUAAAAUAUACUAAACAUUAGUAUUAAUCAAGUGUAUUUAUCAUGAUAUUACGUAUUAGUAUUGUGCUCUCAUCUAACUUGAAGAAGGGGCUAUUUUACAGUACUUUUCAGUUCGUAAUAUUUAAUGCUACAACAUCUACGCACUGCACUAUUCCAAUUUUGCUUAGCUCAAUAAACAAAAGAACAUCGUUGUGAAAUUACAUUUGAGAAAAUGUCCGGGUGGCUCGUCUGUAAAUGUCUUUUCAAAUCGGUUGUGUUCUUGCCACAAAUGAGCGCUCCGCGUGCUUUACAGUUGUUUUGUUUUGUUCGUCGUCAAACGUGAAGUGAGCUGUGGACAUUUUGUCGCUUUUUUAGAUAUCACCUCUUCGAAUGCCGUCUUCCCGGGAGCUCAUUUAAAAACUGAAAACCUUCGCUUCACGUCUCAAUAAGUCAGGCUCGGAUUGGUUCUCUUCUCUCAUGCAGUCUCGCCUGUUAUGUUUUGCCGGUUCUUUUGUUCAUUCCUCGCAUCUCUCCCGUCUGCUGAUUUGAUUUUCGUCACAGUCUAUUUUCGUCUCGUCCUUUAUUCGUUGACGAUAAUGUUAAUCAAUUUAGUCAUAGUUUUAGUCUCCAUCAGUGCCUUCUAUUUUAGUUUUCGUUUCGUUUUCGUCCGCAAAAAUAUAUUCGUGACGAAAAUAAUGACGAAAAUAUUUAGUCAUCGAAAUUAACACUGCUGAAAAGUUCAGAUCGCUUGAUGGAGAGAGAACUCUGAAGCUCAGAUGCUGAAAUUAAUGCAAGCGAAAUGCGCUUCAGUCUAUGUAGUAAACAAACCUGCACGUCUCUGCCAUUCAUUAAUUCACACAGAGACGCGCAGAACACAGAUUCAUAUUUUAAACAACUUUUGUGGCUUAACAUUUACAGAUAUUGGUCCAUAUGGAGAUUUGAUUUGAUUAAUUUAUGCUAAAUUUGACAAAUACCAUGACUGUCCAUAUUAAAAUGUAAGUUUCAUUUUCAUGACUGGAUUUUGAGAUUCCGUCCUCGUUUUCUGUUUCGCAGAAAUCAUAGCGCUGAACCGUGUUUGAACGGGACCUCGGUACUACCGGUACUUAAAGAAACCUGGUACCGUCACAUAAAAUUUUUUUUAGUACCGACUUGGUACCGAAAUACCGGGUCUUUUGACAACACUACCGCCCAGCACUAGAUAGUAUGAACAUUGAGACACACAGGGUAUGUUUUUUCUUCCCCCAAACCAUACUAUCUGCUUCUUCCAUCAACCAGCAGUCAUAUCACCCUGCAGCCCUAGACUGGUUGAUCACUAAAGCUAAUCAGGACUGAGCCUGGUCAGUACCUGAAUGGGAGACCUCCUAGGAAAACUAGGUUGCUGCUAAAAGAGGUGUUAGUAAGUAGGGAUGCAUCGAUCCGAUACUCAGAAUCGGUAUUGGCUCCGAUACUGGUAUUUUCUGUGGAUCGGGUAUCGUCAGACGAGACCGAUCCAAACUGAUAUAAAACUAUUGUGUCAUUGUUGAGCCCCACAAAAGGCACAAAAACAUGAAGCACCAAAUGUUUCCAUGGUUCAAUUUAAGGUAUAAAUUAAUAUUGAAUUCAUUAAAUUCAGUUCACACAAACUCUUCUUUCCGCUGCGGCUGUCUGUCAUCCUCCAUUCAGCAAUCAAACUGUGUGUUGCAUUCAGUUACUACAUUCAAAAUGAUCAAACUCUCUUCAAGAGCACACAGUAACUGAGAAUUAAAACUGUUCAAAGAGAAGGCUCAAUAAACUAACACACAAAUUUAAUACAUUACGUAUCAAUAGCUCUUCCCUUUUGUACUAGUGAUGUCCAGUUCGCGAACAAAUCUUUCUAUUUAACCGGUUCUUCUUAGUGAACCGGUUGAACCAGUUCACCAAAUUGGACUGAAUCCUUUGAACCGGUUUGUGUCUCCAGUAAUCAUUAAUCCACAAAUUACUUGAAUUAUUCACUUUUUAUAACGUGGCUGACACUCUCUCUGAGUCUAAAUUAACCAAUAUCCCGGAGUAAUUAAUUUACUGAAACGGUACACUGACUGAACUGCUGUGAUGAGAGAACUGAAGAUGAGCACGAGCAGAGCAGCAUUUGUGUUGUGCAGGUUGAGCAGCCUGCACACUGUGACUCUGUGUUGUUUAAAGCUCAUCGUUCUGCACAUGGGAUGCGCAUAAGCGAUCUGUGCCACUCUAUAUGGGCGCCUUUAGUAUUAUAAUACUUUUCUGUGCCAAGAUUAUUUUUAGUCUUGUAUGUUUUAAAAUUGUUCUGUCCUAUCUAUCAUAUGUUGCUGCCUUUAUUGCUGUUCUAUAAGUUUAAAAGAUACAUCUUUUACAUUUCUAUAUAGAUGUAUAUACUUGUUUUUUUCAUGAAUGUUUUUUACAACAAUACAAAGAACAAUGUGUAACAUUUUACCAGAUUUUAGACUUUAGACUAUUUGUAAAUAAAAUAUUUCACUAGAUUUUAUUGAAUUGUUGUGCACCAGUGAUGUGCGGGUCAAUGUAUAAACAACCCGCACCCGACCAAUGUUUUCAACUAACCCGCCCGCAACUCAGACCGAAAAAAAGAAAAAGAAAAUAUUGUACCCAACCCGCUUCCUGACCUGCAUUUUUUAAAAGUAGUAAAUGUGUCACCCCUUUAUAUUAAUUUAAUUACUUAAAUAGAUAAUAGCCUACAGGAUAAUAAGCGUUAUGACCGCACACAUAAGGCUUGCCACAAAGAACCGGUUAAAGUAAUGAUUAUGAAUUUCUAAAUUAGCAAGGAGACAUGUAAUUGUUUAGUAAUAAACUGGUGUUUUUUGUGUCACUGCAAAUAAUGAAGUUGACGAUGCAGACUCGCCAUGAACGCCAGAGAGAAAUGCACAUUUCAUAUGGAUUAGAUUAUCAGAGAGUAGCCUAUUUAUUUUGGUUUGAAUAUUUUAGUUUAAAAGUAGACAUUUCAAGCUUUCUGUAAUAUAUUGCUAAAUUUCUUUUUAAACCCACCGACUAAAAGAUUAAGACACUACCUGACCCAAAAUAUCACCCAAAGUUUCUACAGCUUUUUUCUUAGCCGUUUCAGAAUCUGGAACAAUGACUGGGGCUAACUUGUUACUGCAGUCGGUAAAACGAUAUGAAUGUGUGUGAUGUACGGCAUGAUAAAUGCUCGUCACUUCUGCUGCCCAAACUUUGUCAGCCUGUGGGUCAUUUGGUUUAUUGAAAAACGAUUGCACUGAUUUGCAUGUUUCUUGAUGAUGUGCUUUUUUUCUCUGGUACGCACAUGCACCAUGUCACUCACGUCGUAUUCUCCACCAUGUCCCACAGAAAAUCUACUCUCUCUGCUUCGCCAUGUACAGGUCUUAACCAAGAGUAUGUUGCUGUCCAUUCGCUAUUAAAAGUGCGUCUUCUCUUUUUCGUGGCCACACUGGCCAUGGCUGCUUAACCUGACCGAACAGCGCGCACUUGUAUGUGCUCUCCAAUUUGAGAUUGUUGAGGAAGCAUUCAUGCACCAGUCAACAGUUUGACUGACGUAUGGCUAAGCCUUUCAACUAACGCUUUCAUUGCUCUCCUCUGAACUAUUGGACAUAAGUUAGCAUUACGCCUAUGGACGUAUCCGUGUAUUUAUUAGGCAGGGUCGAAUGAAAAAGCAGGACAGAUGCUCAAUUUGCGUGAGGUGGGACAAAGGGUAAAAUUGCUGUACAGUACAACAUAAAGCGGGACAGGUGGUCUUUCUAUAAUCGCUCCAGUUAUUCAGCCUAUUCAAAAUUGUGUCUAGUACUAUAUAAAUUACAAAGGUUUAAUUGUCAUCUUUAUUUCAAACGACCCGACCGACCGUGACCCAAAUAUCAUUAAAAAUAUUUUUGGAUGAUUCGUAACCACGGGUGACCAUGGGUGACCGCAGGCGACCACGGGUGACCGCAGGCACCCGCUCAUUUUGGAUCAACCCGCGCAUCACUGUUGUGCACCCAUGAUUUUUCUAGAAUCUAGUGUGUCUUUUGCUGCUGAAUUAUCCACUAACCUCAUUUACCUAGUAUUUUUGUUAUAGAUUAUGAUUACAUAUUUUACAUUUAUUUUACAUUAAAAUGAAGUUUAUGUAGACUACUACUUAUGUAGUAGUUAUAUGAAGUUAUAUGUAGUAGAUUGUGUUUAACCCUUUAAAACCGAACGUGUCGGCGCCGACUCAAUUUACCAUGCAGUAUUAAUGUUUUCAUAACUCAGCAACCGUUUGCACUAUGAAAAACAAUCAAAUUGUGUCUGAUAGAAGACAGCUUGCACUUUAAGACAAUAUACAGCUUAAUACGGUAACUGCAUGCUUUCUAGCAGCAAAUCACAGCAACUUUCGGGGAGAGGGGGGAGGGCGGAUUUGAAGCAGGGGAUACGGAGCGCAGCAGGUUUGACAGUUUGAGAGUGUGAAAUAUAAACAAAAACGAAUACAAACAUGGCGAAAAAAGGUUUUACACGAGAGGAGGUGAUUUAUUUGAUCUCUGAUGACACCUGGGAAGAGGCUGAACAUGAUUCAUCGGACCCAGAGUCUGUAUUCAGACCUUGAGGAGGUGUAUGCUGCUGGUUUUGAUCCAGUCGUGGAUUGUGUGGCUUCUCUAGUUAUCUACGAAGAAGCAAAUAGGCCAUCUAAAUCGAACACAACACCAUCUCAUAAGGGCCGGGGCCGUGGUCACAGCUGUAGCUGUACAAUGGGCUAGUUGCAUAUCUCCGCCAUCUUGGAUUUCCGGUCUUGCGAGUGUGUGCGUAGAUAUUUCCGGUUGUGCUUAAAGUCAGUGCAGAAAACUGGAGAAGUCCAAAUAUUACCUUCUAUAUGUUUACAGGAUUUAUAAUAUCACUUCAUAUGCAAAUAAGAUGUACACUGCUAUUAUCACUAUACUACAAAUGUUAACUGAGCCAGUGGAUUUGAAACUUGUGUAUGUUUGGGUCCGGUGAAUGAAUUAAAUACACUAAUGUUCACUACUGUUCACGAAAUGAAAGUUGAACUCAUGGCGUGUAUACACAGCUAUAUAAUGUAUUUUAUCUUACCAAAUAUGUAAAUGUACAAAUUACUUAUUUCUCGAAAAUGUUUGCAUUAUUAUUAUUAUUUUUAUAUUAAAUAUUUACCUCGUGA